rfam:Onchocerca flexuosa genome assembly, scaffold: OFLC_contig0002746
CAAAUACCAAUCUGGAUGUUUCUUUGAGUCAUAUGUCAAAUUAAUAUAUCUUACGACUAGAGGAACAUUCAGUAUGGUUAUGGU